GACGAACGCUGGCGGCGUGCUUAACACAUGCAAGUCGAACGGAAAGGCCCUGCGUUUGUGGGGUGCUCGGGUGGCGAACGGGUGAGUAACACGUGAGUAACCUGCCCUUGACUUUGGGAUAACUUCAGGAAACUGGGGCUACUACCAGAUAGGAGCUCCUGCUGCAUGGUGGGGGUUGGAAAUUUUGGGCGGUUGGGGAUGGACUGGCGGGUUAUCAGCUUGUUGGUGGGGUAGUGGCUUACCAAGGCAUUGACGGGUAGCCGGCCUGAGAGGGUGACCGGCCACAUGGGGACUGAGAGACGGCCCAGACUCCUACGGGAGGCAGCAGUGGGGAAUAUUGCACAAUGGGCGGAAGCCUGAUGCAGCAACGCCGCGUGCGGGAUGACGGCCUGCGGGUUGUAAACCGCUUUCGCCUGUGACGAAGCGUGAGUGACGGUAAUGGGUAAAGAAGCACCGGCUAACUACGUG
rnacentral:rRNA from 1 species